rnacentral:rRNA from 1 species
GACGAACGCUGGCGGCGCGCUUAACACAUGCAAGUCGAACGGAAAGGCCUGCUUUCCCUUGUGGAUUGCGGGUACUCGAGUGGCGAACGGGUGAGUAACACGUGAGUGAUCUGCCCCCAACUUGGGUAUAAGCCUGGGAAACUGGGUCUAAUUCCCGAUAGGACUGCAGGGUGGUGCCUGUGGUGGAAAACGAUUUUCUAGUGGUUGGGGAUGAGCUCGCGGCCUAUCAGCUUGUUGGUGGGGUAAUGGCCUACCAGGGCGGCGACGGGUAGCCGGCCUGAGAGGGUGGACGGCCACAUUGGGACUGAGAUACGGCCCAGACUCCUACGGGAGGCAGCAGUGGGGAAUAUUACACAAUGGGCGGAAGCCUGAUGCAGCGACGCCGCGUGGGGGAUGACGGCCUUCGGGUUGUAAACUCCUUUCGACCGCGAGGAAGCCACCUGGUUGGAAGGGUGGUGACGGUAGUGGUAGAAGAAGCACCGGCUAACUACGUG